UAGUGUUUUGUUUAUGACCAUUGGAGAGAAGCAUCCCUGCAUGAGGCUAGCAAGAAGAGAGGGCUCUCUGGUCUCACCCAGAGAAAGCAAUAUUUACACAGCCCAGAUGGGAGCAUUUUGCUGUAUCUUUUCCCCUCUGUUUUCACACAAGGCGGGAUCUGCUGGACGCAAUGGACCAUACAGUACCACACAGGCAAGUUAAUUAUUUUGGAAAGUUACUCUCAAAACAGAAAUUCAGAAAAUUUCACUCGUGCGAUAGCUCUGGAAUGGCUAACUCAACAAACUACAGCGGUUAUUCCCAUUUGUAAUGCAAAGCUCAGAAUACCAUGGCAUAGAUACUGCUAUUGCCCAUCCAAAUAAACAGAAGCACUUACCCAAGAUCCCAGAGUAAGCAAGUUCCACAGCUGGGAUAAAGAUCAGUAUUCAGGUUGCAGGCUCUGACAUCCUCACUGCUUCUCCAUUGUUUCUCUCUGGGUGCUUAAUACACACAAAAGUAAUACCAAAUUUCUGCCCAUAAAGGCAGAAUUGGUGGAAUAUGUCAAGUUUUUGACAACAGACAAUGUUGAAGCAAUGCCCAAUCUCAACGUGAGGAAAAAGCUUCAGAAUGGAGGAACAGCAGAAGUGGAGUGGAAACUUUAUACCGAAGCUCAGUAGAAAUCCCAGUCUCCUUAGGCAUGAGAUGGAGGAACCAUUGCAAAGAAGAGGAAACCUAAAAUGGCUCUCCACAUUUGGAAGAGGAUGCUUUCUCGUAUUCGUCAGAAUAACAUGGAUGUUGAAAAAGACACAAAUGAAGAAAUUGUGUGCAACCUAUGACUGUCACUUCUUAUUAUAUGAGACAUCUAUAAUACUAUGUUGGCCACAGUUCAUGAUGUUCCUAUGUAGUGGUCAAUACAUUUAUAAAUGUGGAACUGAAAUUUCUUCUGGAAAUAAAAUAUACCUCAAGAACAAAUUGAGCAAAAAGGUAUUUAUGGUGUUGAAAUAUAUGAAUACAAACUGGACACAUAUUGAAUACUUUGAACUUUAAAUGACAAAGCAUAUCCACAUAGCAAACCACACACAGACAAGGAAAUUACUUUAAAAAUUUGCAAAGCCACAAUCCAUCAAAUAGCAUAUGCCAGGAAAUAUAUAGAUAUACUUAGGAAAAAUAGAUAGUUCUCAGUAAAACUCCAUCUGGUGUUCUGGAACCCAUUCUAGGUCAUUUUUAUUAAUCUCAACAUUGCAAAAUGGAUAGUAAAUUUAUUUUAGGGCCUUUACUGCAGUCCAUGGAGGGGUUUUUCAGGCUGUGAGGAAGGGCUUCCAUGUAGCUAGAUACCAAUAGUCACAAACUGCAAUGAAAACUCACUAAAUCAAAGUUCUGUUCAAUGGUGUUGCUUUCUUCCAUCUGUUUCUUAUUGAUAACAAUGGCUUAUGAUGUAUAUUAAAACCACAAAAAUUGAAAUUUCUUUUUUUCUUUUGAAAUAUUGCAUCUUCAACACUAGAUUGAAAUUAUUCUUUAAGUAUGCUUGUUAACUGGGAUUCAACAUUUAGAGAGCUGAGAUGUUGUUUCCUAGAUACCAUGUAGCUACACUCAACAAGCAUUUUAAUUCUUGCCCCACUUUUUUUAGAAGCUCAGCAAAUAUAAGGUUGAAAAUUUUCUUGAAGUCUUUGUUAACCCACAAGUAAAUUUGCAUGACAACACAUCUGUGCACUUUCUCUAUUGUCUAUAUUCUGAGCUUUUCUUGGACAGAUACAUGUAUACUUUCUGUGCAAGUUAUAUAAGUGUUCUACUAUAUAUCUAACAUAGCAUGAA